AUCCAGCUGACGAGUCCACAUAGGACGAAACACGCUUCCUGGAA
rnacentral:hammerhead_ribozyme from 1 species